CGGGUUGUGGCGCAGCUUGGUAGCGCACCUGACUGGGGGUCAAGGGGUCGCAGGUUCGAAUCCUCUCAACUUGA
rnacentral:tRNA from 1 species